GCUUAGAACAGAAACAAAGUCAUUCUUCCUCUCCUUUAGUUGGUCUAGUCGUGAGCACCAAAGCGAGAAGAAGCAAAUUAUGCACUUUGGUCCUUGAGUGGUGUCUUUGCAAGUACUAGGGUCAAAUGGAGCUAGAACUUCUACUUGAGCUAGAUUGUGGAGGAUGGCACAACGACAGCUGGUGGGGAGCUUCCCCAAGGAGGAGUCGGGUGGCUUAUUGAGGAAAACAACGAGGAUGAUCUUGAUGAGGACAUGUGUGAUGUUUCCUCAUGGGAGUUUCACUAUUAAGGAUCUUCUAAUUGUCGACCUUGUGUCUCACCCUUUUGUGCAUAGUUUCUCCCUUAGGUUUAGGUUAAUGGUAAUUGCUUUGACACUAGGUGUUUCUCUUUCUUUUGCAUAUGUAUAGGUAAACCUAGGUUCCAGAUAUUAUGCUUAUACUUCAAUCGUAAGCUUUCUAUUAUGUGUAUUUUGGGGAUGUAUCCACACACUGAUAUAUUUAACGGUUACAAACUCAGUACUAUCAUAAUAUGUAUAAAUCAGUUACGCCUUAGACA